rnacentral:rRNA from 1 species
AAGCAGGGGAUCGUAAGGCCUUGCGCUUUUGGGGCGGCCGAUGUCUGAUUAGCUAGUUGGUGGGGUAAAGGCCUACCAAGGCGACGAUCAGUAGUUGGUCUGAGAGGACGACCAGCCACACUGGGACUGAGACACGGCCCAGACUCCUACGGGAGGCAGCAGUGGGGAAUUUUGGACAAUGGGCGAAAGCCUGAUCCAGCAAUGCCGCGUGAGUGAAGAAGGCCUUCGGGUUGUAAAGUUCUUUCAGUCGAGAAGAAAAGGUUGUGAUGAAUAAUCACAACUCAUGACGGUAUCGACAGAAGAAGCACCGGCUAACUACGUGCCAGCAGCCCCGGUAAUACGUAGGGUGCAAGCGUUAAUCGGAAUUACUGGGCGUAAAGGGUGCGCAGGCGGCUUUGUAAGUCAGAUGUGAAAUCCCCGGGCUUAACCUGGGAAUUGCGUUUGAAACUACAAAGCUAG